rnacentral:lncRNA from 1 species
AUUUCCGCUCGCAAUUUGCCGCCCAGCAGGGCAUUCUGGGAUUACGGGGUCCCCCAAACUGUCAUGGCGUCCUAGGAAGAUGGCGACUGCCAUACAACAGGCUUUCCUGGAGUAUCUAAUAAUUUAAAUUCAAGGCAUUGGCGACAUAGCUAGUGACAGAGGGCCAAGAGAACGGUGGACUGACUGCCAGGGGCCAGCGAUUUUUAGGCCAUCAAUCACCCCCACAGAGCUGAUAAAAUGGAGUGUGCAGUUGACACACAGCCAGGCGGGGACGAGGCUGCAGAGCAAGAACACACUCUGGAGGAAACAUCUGCAAAGGAAGGAAGUGAGACGCCGCAGAAGAAGAACAAGAAGCACAAAAAACACAAGAGCAAGAAGAAGAAGAAGAAACGUGGCAAGGGAGAGCGAGAGACGAGCUCAGAGUCGGCCCCAGAGUCCGACGUAGAAAAGCCGCCAGUCAGAACCAGGGCAGGCUUGAGGAGUGCUGGCCCAGUGGCCUCCGAUACAGGAGUAGACACGAAAGAGGAGGCAACAAAGGACUUGAUCACAGCUAUACCUGAGGUAGAAGGUGACGCUAAAGCCAGAAAACACAAAAGACAUGCUGGGAAAAAGAAGAGAAAAAGGAGGAGAAAAGGGGAAGAAAAGCAGGAGAAGAACUCUUCUUCACACUCCCUAUCAGAGAGCGAAUCUAUGUCAGGAACAGAUUCUGAGUCUGAGGGGAAGCCAGCUGGCAUGGUAGUGCAGGCUGUUCCCAUGCAGUCUAAGGCCAGGCAAGAGGAGCGAGUUCCCUCCCUAUGCAUCACUUUGGCCCAAAAAGAGGAAUCUCUGAAAGUGAUGUGUCAACCCUCAGAUAAUGAGUCUGCGGAUGCAGGAGGAAAGACUGAAGAGAAGGUUUCCCCUGCUAACAGGGAGAACCAAACCAUCUCUGUCACAAAACCGGAAGAUCCACGGAGCGACAGGAGCUUCAGCCACACCCAGGAGCUUCCUGACAUCAUCCCCAAGCAGGAUGGCCAGAAGGAGGAAACCAAACCAGAGCAGAGGUCAAAGGUGAAGAACCAGGCUCCCUCCAGGUCAAGGUCAGGGUCGCUGACAGACACUAAGAUGGCUAGAUCAAGUCUUAGUCGUUCGCCAAGCCCUAAGCGGUCCAGAUCAAGUCGCAGUCGUUCACGAAGCCCCGCGGGAUUGUCUAGUCAGCCUGUGUCUGGCAGGGGCAGGUCUCGAUCUGGCUCAAAAAGCAUGACUCCCAAGAGGAAGCAGUCCAAGUCCCCCAAAAGGACAAGACGCAAGUCCCCAUCUCUGUCCCCCAGGACAAGACGCAAGUCCCCAUCUCUGUCCCCCAGGACAAGACGCAAGUCCCCAUCUCUGUCCCCCAUGACAGGACGCAAGUCCCCAUCUCUUCCCCCAGGAGAGACGCAAGUCCCCAUCUCUGUCCCCCAGGAGAGGACGCAAGUCCCCAUCUCGGUCCCCCAGGAGAGGACGCAAGUCCCAUCUCUGUCCCCCAGGAGAGACGCAAGUCCCCACCUGUCCCCAGGAGAGGACGCAAGUCCCCACUCGGUCCCCCAGGAGGAAGGAACGCAAGUCCCACUCUGUCCCCCAGGAAAGGACGCAUGUCUCCAAAGAGGGGACGCAAGUCCCCUUCUGUCCCCUAAGAGACGACGUAUGUCCCCUCUGUCACCCUGGAGAGGACGCAAGUCUCCUUCUCUGUCCCCUAGACGAGGGCGCAAGUUGUCUCCUCUGUCCCCUAGACGAGGCCAAGUUGUCUCCUCUGUCCCUAGACGGGGGCGCAAGUUGUCCUCCUCUGUCCCCUAAACGAGGGCGCAAGUUGUCUCCUCUGUCCCUAGACGAGGGCGCAAGUUGUCUCUCUGUCCCCUAACGAGGCGCAAGUUGUCUCCUCUGUCCCCUAGACGAGGGCGUAAUGUCUCCUCUGUCCCCUAGACGAGGGCGCAAGUUGUCUCCUCUGUCCCCUAGACGAGGGCGCAAGUUUGUCUCCUCUGUCCCCUAGACGAGGGCGCAAGUUGUCCCCUUCUCUGUCCCCUAGACGAGGGCGCAAGUUGUCCCCUUCUCUGUCCCCUAGGAGAGGGCGCAAGUUGUCCCCUUCUCUGUCCCCUAGGAGAGGGCGAAAGUCCUCUCCUUUGUCCCCUAGAAGAGGACGCAAGUCUCUGUCUAAAUCCCCUAGGAGAGGACGCAAACUGUCUCCAUCUCCCAGACGAGGGCGGCGGUCUGAGUCCAGGUCACAUGGCUGUGUCAGAAGGUCUAGGACCAGAACCCCCCCCCCUCGUCGAGGUAGACGUCCGUGGUCCCGCUCACCUGUGAGGCAGACUCGCCGUUCACGCUCCAGAUCUAGAC